UAUAUAUAUAUAUAUAUUAAAGUCUAAACGAUUAUAGUAAAUAUUUUGCUUUAAAGUUUUAUUAUAUAAAUUAAAAUAUACUAUGUUUAUUAGUAGUUAUAUUAUGUCAAUUUUAAAAUAAUAUAAUUAUUUAUUUUUGUAUUUAUAUAAUUUUUACUAAAAAUAUUUUUUUUAUCCUUCCGCAACCGCUCACAGCCGUAAACGCUAGAUGGAACGGUUUUUGAAUUUAAGAAGUUUAGAGCGGUUUGAAAUGAUUUUUAGCAUUUUAUGUGAUUAUAUCAAAACGCCAAUAAUCGCUACCAACCACAAAAGUUACGCUCGCGAGUGGUAGCGAAAAAAAUAGUCAAUGCCCUAACUAGGACACAAACUCUCCCAGGUCUCUAAAAGUUUGUUAAUUUGUUUAAUUCAGGAAUUUCAAAAUAUCUUGAGAUAUUUGACAUUUAAACCUAAGAACAUGUUCAAUCGAGGCAAAACAUUUAUAACAAAAGGUUCCAUUAAUCUUGAAAAAUACUUGUGUUCACCUUCUGGUGAACGCAAGAAUUCACCUCACUUUUUAUCACUAAUCAAAAGGUCAUGUAGAAUUAAUUAAAAAAAGUUACUAAUUUUUUUUUAAAAUCAAGAUAGCCGGAGAAGAGAAAAGACGCCGAUAUUAACAACGUUAAUGCCGAUGUUAGGGUUUAGAGUUUUAGGGUUUAGAGUUUUAGAUUUAGAUUGAGAUUUAUGUUUUAGAGUUUAGGAUUUAAGAUUUUAUGUUUAGGGUUUAAGGUUGUUUAGUGUUUAGAAUUUAGAAUUUUACUGACGGCAUUAACUUCAUUGACGUCGUUAUUUCUUUCUUCUAUUUUACUUUUAUUUUUUAAUAUCUCUUUUUAUUAAUACUACGUGAUAUUUUGGUGAUAAGAGAUGAGUUGAAUUUGACUGUUCACCAUAGUGGGUCAACACAAGUUUUGUUCAUUAAUUUUCUUUAAUCGUUAAUGAUUGAGGAUAAGUUUUAUUCGGUAAAAGACUUCCUAUAAGUUUAUCUUCGGUAAAAAGACUUCCUAUAAGUUUGUCUUAUAAAGAAAAAUCGAACUUCAUAUUAAAUUGUCAUUAAAUAAUACUCAAUUGAUUUCAUUUUAGUUGUCGUUUUAGACUUGAACACACAGAUUAAUGAUGAAACAUUUAAUUUUAUAUAUUUACUAAAUGUAAACAUCAUUACCAAUACACCUAAUCACAUUUCAAUCAAUAGAAAAACAUAUUGAAAUAGAAAGUCAUUAAAUUUUGAAUUAAAAUUAUAAAACGACACUUAUUUUGAAACAAAAAAAAUUAUUAUGCAACAACAACUAAUCUGAAACAAGGAAAAUAUUAUUAAAAGAAAUAUACUCCGUAGCGUUUAAACUUUAAAGUGAUUGUGUCUGCCGUUUUAGUCUAGUUAAUUCCAUAAUCAAAAGACUAUACGAUGCUGUCUAUGAUUUAAAAAAAAAAACUUAUUCCUUCUUCAUUUCCACCUUCCCAAAUGGGGCAUCUUUUACAAGUAGUAGCAUGAAGGCAGAGAAGAGAAGGAAUACAAUUUACAAAGAUAAUUUAAGAAACGCAGGUGUCUAUAUAUGUUGUCUCAAAGUUGUGGCUAUUUUCUUUCUUUCUAAAAUUUGGUUAAACCAAGCCUGGCUUUUCGCAAAGACAUGUGUUGUUUGGAAAUAUGAUUGCCGAACGUAAUUCGAUUGGUUAUUUAUUACUCCUAUUAUCCAUUUGUUUAGUUAAAAGUACGAAUCGGCCACCCAAAAAAUGCCUAGGUUGAUGUAAGUUUGUGAGCCAGCAAGAUUAGUACUGUUGUCUUCUUAUUUAGAAUAAUGAGGAUGUCAGAGAAAUUAAUUCAUUUGAUUGAAGCUGGAAGCACUAAUCCAAAGUUAAGUAUCUUGAAUUUUGAAGUCCAGCGACAGUUUUAAUUGAAGGAUCUUUGGAACUGGGAAAAUGUGGUAGAAGUCGUCGUCAAGAUAAUUAAGACAUGUAAGCUGCGUUCCAACCACUUAGUUUAAUAAUGUUAAGUCUUUUGAAAAAUGUGAUCUCAAUAGUUGUCAAUGAAGUCGUGUUCACAUGUAUAUUCACACUCACACACGUUCACAACAUGAAAUAAUGACUUCACCCAUAGCUUUGCUUUUUAUUUUUUUCUUUGCACAUGCAAAAUUCACGACACCUAUAUAUCUCAGUUUUGUAAUCACUAUAUAAAAAUAGUAGAAUAAUAAUAAUAAUAAUAAUAAUAAUAAUAAUAAUAAUAAUAAUAACAAUAAUAAUAAAUAAAUUAGUAAAUAAAGAUCCAGUAGACAAAUCGCUUAUCUAAUUUAUUAAAAUAGAGUCCUAUUUUUUAUAUACCUUUGAAAGUUAUGAUUUAAAAUUGGACCCUUUCUAGAGUGUCAUUUAAGUUUGAACCUAUUUACAUUUGAUUAGAAAAAUAUAACAUUCAUUAUUAUUAGAUUAAUAAUAAGUACAAAAUAACUUUCCCUCUAAUAAAAAUCGUUGACUAUCCAUAAUAAAAUCUUCACCUUUAUAUGUCCAAGCAUGAGUAAAUUAUAUUUUAAUCUUCGACAGUUCAUUAAUCAAUUGUAUCGUAUGAUUGUUUACUAUAUAUUAAAAUAUACAAAUAUUUACACAAUAUGUAUACACACUUUUCAUUUGUUUCUUCUUCUCCCCAUUGUCUCCAUGUUUGAAUUUGUGGAGUUGUGAAAGUCCUCCUUAGAAAGAAUCAUAUUACUUCGUAUGUAUAUACAAUAUGUAUACAAACGAUAUUUGCGUAAUGGAAUAUGAAUUAUUACUUCGUAUACCAAUUUUUCAUAUGAAUUACGUACGUUUUCAUAUAAAAUUUUUAUCCAUUCCAUUACUUUAAAUCGUUAAGUUCAUUUAAAUCCAUCCAUUAUAUAAAGUAAAUAUUUUCAUAUGAAAUUUAAAUUGUUAAUUUUAAAAAAAAAAUUAGAUUCUAAAAAUCUUAACUAGAACAAACCAAAAAGUUUCUAACAUGACGCUAACAAAAAAAGAACCAGACACGAUUUGUAUUUCUUCUUCCUAUAGUUUUGAAAACUCUAACAAUAUUAUCUAAAACAACCAAAUCAUUUCUUAACAUUAUCCUAACAAAAAAAACAAAACGAUUAAUUUAGAUCACAUAAUUUUUAUACAAAUUCAAAACCUAAACAAAUAAUAACAAGAAAUCAAGUGUUUUUUCCUCAAAAUCUUAACAAAUAAGAAUCAAUUCUGCCAUAUCAAAUAUGCGGUAUAUACUAAAAUUAUCCCAUAAUUUCUAUCUGAAAGACCUAAUCUCAACGCUAUAAAUAUAUAAUUCACUCACCUACAUUUUCAUUAUAUUCAUAGCUGAAAACUUUCAAACAAAAACCUUAAUUCACCCUUUUUCCAUGGCUCCCAUUUUAUCAAUAACCUUGCUUUCAGAGAUUAGGGCAUUCAAAACUGCAUGGAACAUCCAAUUGAAAGCAAUUCACGUGUGGAAUCAAUAUUCACAAAUCGGUGGUGAAACCCUUUCGUGCAUUAUGUUGAGAAAGUAAUUGUGUGCUAAAAUUAACCUGUAUUAUAUAUAUGUCAUCUAUACUAUAUUAAAAGGGUUAUAUGAGCAUCAGAGAGGAUGUCCACGUCAGACAAUAAAAUCGACCAAUCACAGAUCGUUUUUCUGCCACGUCACAAUCAGGCUUCCCAAAAAAAUUGUGUCUAUCUGAAUCGUCUUUUCAUCUUUUCUCCUCAUCGUGAAGUUUCUUCAGAUGAUUGUCUUCUCAACUUCCAUAUCAUCCUCCAUCACUCAUAAUUAUAUAUUGAUCCAACCCAUAGAGACACUAACAAUAGAUUGAUUCGUUUGUUUGAUUCAAUAUCAUCACCUCCACUCAGUUCUAAAUACAAAUUUCCCAGUUUCAGAAUUCAGAUCGACCUGGGAGUACUCAACCGACGAAUAAUAACCGCCGGUAUCACUUUGGAUCGGCCGUUCAACCGUGACUAAUUAUAAAAGAGCCUUUGGCGGCAGCGUUUACCGGCAAAGUCGUUGCUCAGGGUGGUGAAGAGAAAACAUGGGAGUGCUAGGGCUUUGGGAGCUACUCGCUCCCGUUGGUCGCCGCGUCUCCGUCGAAACCCUAGCCGGGAAACGAUUGGCUAUCGAUGCGAGUAUAUGGAUGGUUUAGUUUAUAAAGGCGAUGCAAGACGAGAAGAGUGAUAUGGUUUAGAACGCUCACUUGAUCGGGUUUUUCCGGAGGAUUUGCAAACUUUUGUUCCUAAAGACUAAGCAGGUUUCCGUCUUUGACGGUGGUACUCCGGCGUUGAAACGCCGCACUGUCAUUCGCGUCGUCGCCAGCGUGAGAACGCUCAAACGAAAAUCAGGAAAACCGCUGAGAAAUUGCUGCUUAAUCGACUCAAGGAGAUGAGGCUUAAGGAACAACCCAAUGAUCUUAAGAAGCAAAGACUACAGCAGAGUAAGAGUGCUGGAGAUAAGAAGCGUGUAUUUUCUGUAUCUCUGGAAGAACCUUUGCGAGACUCUGCAGAUGAAGAUGGUGCGGGGGGCAGUUGUUUUCAGGAGGAAAAAAUGGAUGAGAUAUCUUCAGCAUCUGUGGCUGGAGAAACUGUUAAUGACUUUGCCACUAAAGGAUCAUCGGUUACAAUUGAGAAAAUCCAAGGAGGCAUUGAUAUAAGAUUUUGUAGAUGAAAAUAAGGUCAAUACUUUCCAAGGAGGAUAUCUUCAGAAGCCUACCGAGCAAUGAUUAUUUAGAGGGAUUUAACGAAGAUAUAAUGUUCUUGGUUUAGAGAGUUAAACUAUCUCAAACGUCCACUGAGAAAAUUGUACUGAUCGUUUGUGUUUUUUAUGUAGGAAAAGAGUUUAGAUGUUAACAAGGCUUAGAGUGUUGGUCUAGGAGGUUCAACUGAUUCCAUUGGUGAAUCAGGUGGAUGGAUGGUUUGAAAGGGAAUGCACACUAGCCAGUUCCUGCAACAGAGAACGGGAAUUGACGAUCAAAUAGAGAGAGGUGAAACAUUGACUCCACUUCUGAACAUGUAGAAAGCCCAAAUGCAAUUCUGUGAGGAUUCAAAGCUUAUGAAAGUUUUCUUAGAAGUAGUGUGAUCACUCUAUGAACUUUUAGUUGCAUUGAUAGAUAAGAAAAAGUGGAUACAUAUUGUUGUGUUUUGGUCUUUGCCUAAAAUAAUUUUGAGAUGUUUGCUAUGUUUUUCAUCAGAUUAAAAGGUCAAUGAUACCGUUAGAAAAUACUAUAUUUUCUGAGGUUACAGACAGUGACUACACUCGGGGAGUUUGUUCUAUUCGUCAGCUCUUAGACAGUUAUCUAUAGGAUUGUUUUAUUAUUACGAACGUAGGAAUGAGUUUCUUCUGUUCUCAGUGGUAACCUUACGAGAUAUUAUGAUCUAUUGGAGAGAAUGUUACCCUGAGUUUCCUUUGUAAAACGGCCGAGGAACUCCAAGAAGCAAGUUAGAAGCUGCAACUGUAACAAUGGUUUUGUACAACUAAAGAACCAAUUUAUGUCAAGUAUAUUGUUCUACAAAGUCUCACCCUUUUCUAUAUCUUAUAUGCUUGAUUAGGUGUGUUCCUUGGCUUGUCUUCCAAUGCACGUUACCAAAUUAUCAACAUCCUUGGAAGGUUCAACAGAAUCGAAAUGCAUUCCUGUGGUUGCGGUGGCGUUUAAGGUUGGAGUCCGGUUUUCUAAUAAUGUAUAUGGAGGUGUACAGUUUGUGGAUUGGGCUUAAUUAUCCGGUGUCCAGUAGUCAAACCGGUUUCAAACCAGCAUUAGGAGUUUCCGUCUGAGAUCUUUAUAUCUGACGAUGUAUUAGUCUAUCAAUGCAAACUGGACAACAUAACGAUGUGAAGUAUGCAUAUGAAUUGAAGACUGAGACUACAACAAGAUUAUUGCAACAGUUGAUGUUAUUGAACUUUUUGCUCUAUUAUUUAUUUGGAAAAUAAUUUAUUAUCUGCCUAAAUAAGUCAUGUGAAUGCAUAAUAACUGAUUGUAUGAAAGUGGACAUUCUCUUCUUUUACGAAUUAUGCUUUAUAUAGUUGGUCGCUGUCUCGCUGAUUAUUGUUUUUUCCUUACUCAUUUUUCUUCAUGAUGAUCAAGUUGGAUUGCUCUAUUUAUUUUAGACGGGUGUUCUCAAAAUUUGAAAUUAAUUAUUUCUUACUUUAGAUCUCUUAACCUCAUAAAGCAGAAACUGUCAAAUGUCUUUUGAAACAUGUAUUCUCUUACCGUGGUUAAAAUUACUAUUAUAUGUGGAUUUCUUUUCACUGGCUAGAGAAAAAAAGACAAAACUAUGAAAGAAGUUUUUUUUUGUCAAAAACUAUGAAAGAUUUUCACCACUAAACUAUUCACAUAAAAAUGGGGGAGAAUCAAUGAAUAUGACAUAAAUUUGUUGUAAAUAAUUUUUGUUAAUAUAUGGACUUAUAUAUUUUUUAUAAUAUGACCAUAAUAUAUAUGUCCGAAACCCGGGCGUAGCCCGGGAAAAUCUCUAGUAAUGAUAAUAGUAACAAAUAGAAUAAUAUAACCCAAUCUAAAGGUAUUAAAGAUUUUACACUUUAGAUCUUAUUUUAAUACUCAAAUUUUCUAAAGUUACCAAGAUAUUUUCACUCAUUUUAUAAGAUCACUACCUAUGAUUUUUAUUCAUUUUCUGAAAAAAUCCAUUGAAGAAAAACUUGUGUGUAUAAUAAAUGUUAAGCACACCUAAUCUAUCAAUUAAUACACAGUUUUAUUUUUCUUUAAACAUACAAACUAUUAUUGGUAUAUAAAGUUAUGAAAAUAAUUUAACUAACUCUACACUGUGUCACUGGGUUUUAUAUACUGAAGUCUUAGUUGAGUCAUGUAUAUGGUCGUAUUCUAUAUCAUAUUAACCAAUAUUAACUUACACAUUAUACAUCGGUUUAUCAACCAAAUAAUAUAAUUCAUCUACAAACUACUAUAAAACCAAUGGGUUAGAUGACUAAGAAAAUUAAAAAAAAAAUUAUAUACAAGAACAAAAACACACUUUUCAUAACAUAAAUCAAUAUUUAUGUAUGAAUUACUUAUGCAUAAUUUUCAUUAUACAUUACUAUGCAAAAUCGUCAAGCCAUUUUAUAUUUAUUUAUUUGAAGAUAAAAAUAACUAUCUAUAAUAAUAUAUAUCAGGUAUCACAUAAUCAAAUAAAAUACAUAAUUAAUAUUUUAAUGAAAUCUAAUAAAAUCAUAACACAAUAGUCUAAUUGCUUGGUUAAACAGAUCUUAACUAUAAAUAAAUGCAACUAUCAGUUACAUUAAUAUUAAGGAUAAACCUAAAAUUUGCUUAAGCAAUUUUCCUAUAAUUUUGAAAGCUAACAAAUCUUAGAAAUAUAUCCAGUAUAUAUAUAGUUCUAAAAAUGUUACAAAUUAUAUUGAUAAUGAAAAUUAAACGAUUAUGAAAAUUUCAGCAUAAGAAAAUUUAGAUAUUUUACUUAUAGAAAGAAAUAUAAACCACAUAAUUUUUCUACAAUAAAACUGAUCAAAAAGUUUCAAAUAUCUAGCCAUCAUUUCUAUAUUAACUUAAUUAAAAUAAUAGAUAAGCCACUUUAAAAAUUGGAUCUUAACAACUACACAAAGCAUAAGUUUAAAAAAUAUUUUUUUAACCACUAAAGUAGUAACAGAAGUCCAAACAACCAAACAUCUAAUCUAACAAUUUAACAUUCACAAUAAUUUUAUUUUUUAAUAAUAAAUUAAAUAAAAUAAAACAUAUCCACGUUUUAACGCGGAUCAGAAUCUAGUAACAAGCUUAAAACACAUAUGAGCAAUGAGUUUCACAGAUCAGAUCAAAGUCAUAGGCGAACGAAUCUAAAUAAUUAAUCAUCUAAUGGAUAAAUCAAUUAAACAUUAUCCACCCGAAUAAAAAGCUAAAUCCUCGAACUCGAAUACAUAGUUGAAGUUAAAAAAGAAAGAAAGUAAAACCUAUUCUAUGUACUAGCCAAUGACAAAAAAAAAAAAA